CAGUCGCCACGGUAAUACGUAGGGUGCAAGCGUUAAUCGGAAUUACUGGGCGUAAAGCGUGCGCAGGCGGUCCGCUAAGACAGAUGUGAAAUCCCCGGGCUUAACCUGGGAACUGCAUUUGUGACUGGCGGGCUAGAGUAUGGCAGAGGGGGGUAGAAUUCCACGUGUAGCAGUGAAAUGCGUAGAGAUGUGGAGGAAUACCGAUGGCGAAGGCAGCCCCCUGGGCCAAUACUGACGCUCAUGCACGAAAGCGUGGGGAGCAAACAGGAUUAGAUACCCGUGUAGUCCAUGUCUCUUAUAC
rnacentral:rRNA from 1 species